rnacentral:rRNA from 1 species
CAGUAGCCACGGUAAUACGUAGGUGGCAAGCGUUGUCCGGAAUUACUGGGCGUAAAGCGUGCGCAGGCGGUUUUGUAAGACAGGCGUGAAAUCCCCGGGCUUAACCUGGGAAUGGCGCUUGUGACUGCAAGGCUAGAGUGCGUCAGAGGGGGGUAGAAUUCCACGUGUAGCAGUGAAAUGCGUAGAGAUGUGGAGGAAUACCGAUGGCGAAGGCAGCCCCCUGGGACGAGACUGACGCUCAUGCACGAAAGCGUGGGGGGCAAACAGGAUUAGAUCCCCUGUAGUCCCUGUCUCUUAUACA